UGGGGAAUUUUGCGUAAUGGGGGAAACCCUGACGCAGCAACGCCGCGUGGAGGAUGAAGCCCCUUGGGGCGUAAACUCCUUUCGACCAAGACGAUAAUGACGGUACUGGUGGAAGAAGCACCGGCUAACUCUGUGCCAGCAGCCGCGGUAAUACAGAGGGUGCGAGCGUUGUUCGGAAUUAUUGGGCGUAAAGGGCGCGUAGGCGGUGCCACAAGUCACCUGUGAAAUCUCUGGGCUUAACUCAGAGCCUGCAGGCGAAACUGUGGUGCUGGAGUAUGGGAGAGGUGCGUGGAAUUCCCGGUGUNGCGGUGAAAUGCGUAGAUAUCGGGAGGAACACCUGUGGCGAAAGCGGCGCACUGGACCAUAACUGACGCUGAGGCGCGAAAGCUAGGGGAGCAAACAGGAUUAGAUACCCUGGUAGUCCUAGCCCUAAACGAUGAUUGCUUGGUGUAGCAGGUACCCAAUCCUGCUGUGCCGCAGCUAACGCGAUAAGCAAUCCGCCUGGGGAGUACGGUCGCAAGGCUG
rnacentral:rRNA from 1 species